UACGUAGGUGGCAAGCGUUGUCCGGAUUUACUGGGCGUAAAGGGCGUGCAGGCGGUUUGUUAAGUGCAGGGUGAAAGCUCCCGGCUCAACUGGGAGAGGUCCUUGCAUACUGGCAAACUCGAGGGAGGCAGAGGAAAGUGGAAUUCCCGGUGUAGUGGUGAUAUGCGUAGAUAUCGGGAUGAACACCUGUGGCGAAGGCGGCUUUCUGGGCCUUACCUGACGCUGAGACGCGAAAGCGUGGGGAGCGAACCGG
rnacentral:rRNA from 1 species